rnacentral:tRNA from 1 species
GUGUCGUUAGCUCAGUAGGUUAGAGCAACCCGUAGGUCGCAGGUUCGAUUCCUGCCCGACACACCA